rnacentral:lncRNA from 1 species
UGUGUUACCUGCUGCAGUCCAGAAGUCCUUCGUAAAUGGCUUUGAUCUGGAGAGUUUAUACUGACUUUUUCCAGUCCGAGUAGGAACCAUCUCCUCUGCUCCACUCGCUGGCGCCGGAUCCUGCGACCUCUCUACAUUUCCACACUGAGAUCUGUGAAAGGAAUCGGUUUUAAAAGACACUGAGCUGCUCUUUGAUCCCAG